UUCUUAUUGAAUGAUGAUUGUCAUGUGUCAUGUUCUGAUUGGAUGUCAACUCCAUGAAAGGUGAAAUGUAUUGUCAUAAAAGAUGAAACUUUUAGAUAACUGUUU
rnacentral:pre_miRNA from 1 species